ACAGUCACCAUCAUAGUACUUGGGCUGCAAAAGUAGUAAAAAAAAGCAGUCGAACAUAAAUCUUUCACAUGAAGAGUCAAAUAUAAGCAGAAGAAUAAAAUAUUUGUUCUGAACCAUCUUUUGCAGUCCUAUUUUUGGAGAACAUAACAUAAUGUGUUUCCAUCAUUAUUAAUGGUAUGAAGGAAUUCCUUAUGUUGAACAAUUGUGGUACCAUUUUCCCAUUUGUGUGUUGAAAGUAGGAUACAAUCCAAUUUAGAAAUAGUGAAAGUAAAUAUGCAUAAUAAUAGUAUUCCACUACACAAAUAUUUACGUGAUUCACUCUUCAAAUUAGGCUACGUUCACGGACAAGUAAAGAUCAACAUCAAUGAAUUAUAUUAGUCAUUUGGGGUCUCAAAGAAGUUUUACAGAAUAAGACAUCUCCUGCCAUAUCAUUUACUUCCAAAACUAACAUGUGGAAUAUGAGAAUUUAUUUAGUGCAAUCAUUGUAUGUGAACGGAUAUACUCUGAUCGUUGAUUAUUAUGGGACCCACAUGGAACUCACCAUGAUUAAUGAUCAUAAUACAAACCAUUGCACAAAUAACGGCCGUAUUUUAUUUUUUAUUUUUUUGUGGAAUAUG
rnacentral:misc_RNA from 1 species